GAUGAAGAACGUAGCGAAAUGCGAUAAGUAAUGUGAAUUGCAGAAUUCAGUGAAUCAUCGAAUCUUUGAACGCACAUUGCGCCCCUUGGUAUUCCGAGGGGCAUGCCUGUUCGAGCGUCAUUACACCACUCAAGCUAUGCUUGGUAUUGGGUGUCGUCCUUAGUUGGGCGCGCCUUAAAGACCUCGGCGAGGCCUCCCCGGCUUUAGGCGUAGUAGAAUUUAUUCGAACGUCUGUCAAGGAGAGGAAUUCUGCCGACUGAAACCUUUAUUUUUACAGGUUGACCUCGGAUCAGGUAGGGAUACCCGCUGAACUUAAGCAUAUCAAUAAGCGGAGGA
rnacentral:misc_RNA from 1 species